GACGAACGCUGGCGGCGUGCUUAACACAUGCAAGUCGAGCGAAAAGACGUGAAUCUUGUUUUUUUUUUGUUUUCGUCGCGCGGGUGAGUAAAACGUGGAUCCUCCCCUUUCAUCACUGGGAUAACUUCGGGACACCGGAGCUAAUAUCGGAUAAUCUUAUGAACCGCAUGGUUGAAAAUUGAAUGACGGUCUUUCUGUCACUUAUAGAGGCAUCCCCGCUGCAUUAUCUGGUUGUUAGUGUAACGGUGUUCUAAGGCAACGCUGCAUAGCAGACCUGAGAGGGUGAUCGGCCACACUGGAACUGGGACACGGUCCAGACUCCUACGGGAGGCAGAAGUAGGAAAUCUUCAGAAAUGGGCGAAAGCCUGACGGAGAAGCGGCGCGUGGGUGAGGAAGAUCUUGGGAUCGUAAGACUCGGUUAUUAGGGAAGAACAGAUGUGUAAGUAACUGUACACGUAUUGACGGUACCGGAUCAGAAAGCCACGGCUAACUACGUG
rnacentral:rRNA from 1 species